rnacentral:rRNA from 1 species
GAUGAACGCUGGCGGCGUGCCUAAUACAUGCAAGUCGAGCGAACAGAUGAGAAGCUUGCUUCUCUGAUGUUAGCGGCGGACGGGUGAGUAACACGUGGGUAACCUACCUAUAAGACUGGGAUAACUCCGGGAAACCGGGGCUAAUACCGGAUAAUAUUUUGAACCGCAUGGUUCAAUAGUGAAAGACGGUUUCGGCUGUCACUUAUAGAUGGACCCGCGCAGUAUUAGCUAGUUGGUAAGGUAACGGCUUACCAAGGCGACGAUACGUAGCCGACCUGAGAGGGGUGUCGGCCACACUGGAACUGAGACACGGUCCAGACUCCUACGGGAGGCAGCAGUAGGGAAUCUUCCGCAAUGGGCGAAAGCCUGACGGAGCAACGCCGCGUGAGUGAUGAAGGUCUUCGGAUCGUAAAACUCUGUUGUUAGGGAAGAACAAAUUUGUUAGUAACUGAACAAGUCUUGACGGUACCUAACCAGAAAGCCACGGCUAACUACGUGCCAGCCGCCGCGGUAA